ACGAACGCUGGCGGCGUGCCUAAUCCCUGCAAGUAGAACGCACAGUUUAUACCGUAGCUUGCUACACCAUAGACUGUGAGUUGCGAACGGGUGAGUAACGCGUAGGUAACCUGCCUGGUAGCGGGGGAUAACUAUUGGAAACGAUAGCUAAUACCGCAUAAUAUUAAUUAUUGCAUGAUAAUUAAUUGAAAGGUGCAAUUGCACCACUACCAGAUGGACCUGCGUUGUAUUAGCUAGUAGGUGAGGUAACGGCUCACCUAGGCGACGAUACAUAGCCGACCUGAGAGGGUGAUCGGCCACACUGGGACUGAGACACGGCCCAGACUCCUACGGGAGGCAGCAGUAGGGAAUCUUCGGCAAUGGACGAAAGUCUGACCGAGCAACGCCGCGUGAGUGAAGAAGGUUUUCGGAUCGUAAAGCUCUGUUGUAAGAGAAGAACGGGUGUGAGAGUGGAAAGUUCACACUGUGACGGUAUCUUACCAGAAAGGGACGGCUAACUACGUG
rnacentral:rRNA from 1 species